GACGAACGCUGGCGGCGUGCUUAACACAUGCAAGUCGAACGGAAAGGCCCUGCUUUUGUGGGGUGCUCGAGUGGCGAACGGGUGAGUAACACGUGAGUAACCUGCCCUUGACUUUGGGAUAACUUCAGGAAACUGGGGCUAAUACCGGAUAGGAGCUCCUGCUGCAUGGAGGGGGUUGGAAAGUUUCGGCGGUUGGGGAUGGACUCGCGGCUUAUCAGCUUGUUGGUGGGGUAGUGGCUUACCAAGGCUUUGACGGGUAGCCGGCCGGAGAGGGUGACCGGCCACAUUGGGACUGAGAUACGGCGCAGACUGCUACGGGAGGCAGCGGUGGGGAAUAUUGCACAAUGGGCGGGAGCCUGAUGCAGCAACGCCGCGUGCGGGAUGACGGCCUUCGGGUUGUAAACCGCUUUCGCCUGUGACGAAGCGUGAGUGACGGUAAUGGGUAAAGAAGCACCGGCUAACUACGUG
rnacentral:rRNA from 1 species